rnacentral:rRNA from 1 species
UCUGGUGCCAGCAGCCGCGGUAAUUCCAGCUCCAAUAGCGUAUAUUAAAGUUGUUGCAGUUAAAAAGCUUGUAGUUGAAUUUCGGGGGUUCGACCGUUGGUCGGGCCAUUGUCUGUACUGGCGUGUAGAAUUUCUACCUUUUGGGGAACUAUCAUGUUAUUAAUUUAGCAUGGUAGGAAGCCAGGACCUUACCUUGAAAAAAUUAGAGUGUUUAAAGCAGGC